rnacentral:misc_RNA from 1 species
GCAAGGGAUGCCUCGAUGUGGGACAAGUAGGUUCACUGAUCUUAAGGGAGAGGUUUUGCAUCACUUUAUGUUUGUGUCAAGUUUCAGCGAGUACACUGUGGUGGAUGUUGCUCAUCUCAUCAAACUUGAUCCUAUUCUCAUCUCUCCUGACAAGGCAUGCCUCCUCGGUUGUGGCGUAUCGACAGGGGUUGGUGCUGCUUGGAGAACAGCAAAUGUGGAAAAGGGGUCUACUGUUGCCAUUUUUGGGCUGGGGACUGUAGGCUUAGCAGUUGCUCAAGGAGCAAGAAUAUGUGGAGCAGCUAGGAUUAUUGGGAUAGAUGUCAACCCAAAUAAAUUAACAUUGGCAAAAGAGUUCGGAGUCACAGAGGUUGUUAAUUCUACAAGCAUUGGAGACAAAUCUGUGAGCCAGGUAAUCAAUGAGACUACCGAUGGGGGUGCAGACUAUUGUUUUGAAUGUGUU